GUGAACGCUGGCGGUAGGCCUAACACAUGCAAGUCGAACGGCAGCACAGUAAGAGCUUGCUCUUACGGGUGGCGAGUGGCGGACGGGUGAGGAAUACAUCGGAAUCUACUUUUUCGUGGGGGAGAACGUAGGGAAACCUACGCUAAUACCGCAUACGACCUACGGGUGAAAGCAGGGGAUCUUCGGACCUUGCGCGAUUGAAUGAGCCGAUGUCGGAUUAGCUAGUUGGCGGGGUAAAGGCCCACCAAGGCGACGAUCCGUAGCUGGUCUGAGAGGAUGAUCAGCCACACUGGAACUGAGACACGGUCCAGACUCCUACGGGAGGCAGCAGUGGGGAAUAUUGGACAAUGGGCGCAAGCCUGAUCCAGCCAUACCGCGUGGGUGAAGAAGGCCUUCGGGUUGUAAAGCCCUUUUGUUGGGAAAGAAAAGCAGCAGGUUAAUACCCCGCUGUUCUGACGGUACCCAAAGAAUAAGCACCGGCUAACUUCGUG
rnacentral:rRNA from 1 species